GUGCCUAACACAUGCAAGUCGAACGAGAAAGUGGAGCAAUCCAUGAGUAAAGUGGCGACCGGGUGAGUAACACGUGACUAACCUACCCUCGAGUGGGGAAUAACCUAGGGAAACCUGGGCUAAUACCGCAUAACGUCUUCGGACCAAAGGAGCAAUUCGCUGGAGGAGGGGGUCGCGGCCGAUUAGCUAGUUGGCGGGGUAACGGCCCACCAAGGCAAUGAUCGGUAGCCGGCCUGAGAGGGCGCACGGCCACACUGGAACUGAAACACGGUCCAG
rnacentral:rRNA from 1 species